AGCUAAAACAACGACGAAAGAUCAUCGCUGAGGAGAGACCGCUGAGUUGAGUGAUACAAAACAUGAACAAAUAAGUCAAGAAAAAGUUCGGAUAUAAAAAUAGUUCAACAUCUUAGAAUUACAUAUAUGUUGUGUUUGUCGGUCAUCAAAGUGAAAUACGUGGGACACCUGGAUUGCAGUAGUUUUAUCGGUUUUAUCCUUCCCAGCAGGCAGGUCAACAAGUGAAGUUGAUAAUAAAAAAGUCAGGUGGCUUUUCACGUUUUUGUUCUUUUUGCAAAAGACCAGCAGAACAAAUCAACGCAACUAACACAAGCAGUAACACUCCUCGCUUGUUUGUAUAGCAUUAAUUACGAAGGGAUAGCUGAACAGCAAACAAUAUGUUUUCCUUUGUGUUUGGAUUUCUCUCUGGGACGGCAGUAGGCAUUUACCUCUCACAGAACUAUGAUGUACCAGACAUGAACAAACUAUUGGACACUCUGAAGGACUCGGCCAAGAAGCUCGAGAAGAAAAAUGGCGGCUCUAAGAGCGAAUCAUGAUAUGACCUCCAGACAGGAGAGAUGAAGCAAGACAAGACGUUACCUGUAGAGCUGAGUGUGUGAUUGGAACGGAACGUUAUGAUAUGAUACAGAGUGUGCAUCCAGGGUCCAGCAUGAUGGAAGAGAGACGAAUGGAGAAUGCAUAAAUUAUAAAUAAUGUA